rnacentral:rRNA from 1 species
GCAAGAUUAAAACUCAAAGGAAUAGACGGGGACCCGCACAAGCGGUGGAGCAUGUGGUUUAAUUCGACGAUACGCGAAGAACCUUACCUGGCCUUGACAUAGACAGAAUUUUCCAGAGACGGAAAAGUGCUAGUUUACUAGAACUGUCAUACAGGUGCUGCACGGCUGUCGUCAGCUCGUGUCGUGAGAUGUUGGGUUAAGUCCCGCAACGAGCGCAACCCUCGUGUUUAGUUACUAACAGUUCGGCUGAGGACUCUAAACAGACUGCCUGGGUAACCAGGAGGAAGGUGAGGACGACGUCAAGUCAUCAUGGCCCUUACGGCCAGGGCUACGCACGUGCUACAAUGGGGUAUACAAAGAGCUGCAAUACGGUGACGUGGAGCAAAUCUCAUAAAAUAUCUCCCAGUUCGGAUUGAAGUCUGCAACUCGACUUCAUGAAGUUGGAAUCGCUAGUAAUCGUAGAUCAGCAAUGCUACGGUGAAUACGUUCCCGGGUCUUGUACUCACCGCCCGUCACACCAUGGGAAUUGAAUUCAUUCGAAGCGGGGAUGCUAAAAUAGCUACCUUCCACAGUGGAUUUAGUAACUAGGGUGAAGUCGUAACAAGGUA